CCUACGGGAGGCAGCAGUGGGGGAUAUUGGACAAUGGGGGAAACCCUGAUCCAGCGACGCCGCGUGAGUGAAGAAGUAUUUCGGUAUGUAAAGCUCUAUCAGCAGGGAAGAAAGAAAUGACGGUACCUGCGUAAGAAGCCCCGGCUAACUACGUGCCAGCAGCCGCGGUAAUACGUCGGGGGCAAGCGUUAUCCGGAAUGGCUGGGUGUAAAGGGAGCGUAGACGGGAAUGCAAGGCUGGAGGGAAAGGCGGGGGCCCAACCCCCGGACCGGUGUGGAAACUGUGUAACUGGAGUGCAGGAGAGGUAUGCGGAAUUCCUAGUGUAGCGGUGAAAUGCGUAGAUAUUAGGAGGAACACCAGUGGCGAAGGCGGCCUGCUGGACUGUAACUGACGUUGAGGCUCGAAAGCGUGGGGAGCAAACAGGAUUAGAUACCCGGGUAGUC
rnacentral:rRNA from 1 species